rnacentral:rRNA from 1 species
GACGAACGCUGGCGGCGUGCUUAACACAUGCAAGUCGAACGCUGAAGCUUGGUGCUUGCACUGGGUGGAUGAGUGGCGAACGGGUGAGUAAUAAGUGAGUAACCUGCCCUUGACUCUGGGAUAAGCCUGGGAAACUGGGUCUAAUACUGGAUACGACAUGUCACCGCAUGGUGGUGUGUGGAAAGGGUUUUACUGGUUUUGGAUGGGCUCACGGCCUAUCAGCUUGUUGGUGGGGUAAUGGCUCACCAAGGCGACGACGGGUAGCCGGCCUGAGAGGGUGAACCGGCCACCAGGGAAUGAAGAACGGCCCAGACCCCCACCGGGGGGCGGAGGUGGGGAUAUUGGACAAAGGGGCGGAGCCUGAAGCAGGGAACGCGGGUGAGGGGAGAAGGGCUUUGGGUUUGAAAACCUCUUUCAGAAAAAAGGAGCGGAAGGUGAGGUACGUGCAGAAGAAGCGCCGGCUAACUACGUG